CGUAGGGUGCGAGCGUUAAUCGGAAUUACUGGGCGUAAAGCGUGCGCAGGCGGUUUUGUAAGACAGGCGUGAAAUCCCCGGGCUCAACCUGGGAACUGCGCUUGUGACUGCAAGGCUAGAGUACGGCAGAGGGGGGUGGAAUUCCACGUGUAGCAGUGAAAUGCGUAGAGAUGUGGAGGAACACCAAUGGCGAAGGCAGCCCCCUGGGUCGAUACUGACGCUCAUGCACGAAAGCGUGGGUAGCAAACAGGAUUAGAUACCCUGGUAGUCCACGCCCUAAACGAUGUCAACUAGGUGUUGGAUGGGUAAAACCAUUUAGUACCGGAGCUAACGCGUGAAGUUGACCGCCUGGGGAGUACGGCCGCAAGGUUA
rnacentral:rRNA from 1 species